UCAGAACGAACGCUGGCGGCAUGGAUUAGGCAUGCAAGUCGAACGGGAGCAGCAAUGCUCCAGUGGCGCAAGGGUGAGGAACACGUGAACAACCUGCCUUCGAGUUGGGGAUAGCUUCUGGAAACGGGAGAUAAUACCGAAUAACAUCAUUAAGUCGCAUGACUUUUUGAUCAAAGCAGCAAUGCGCUUGAAGAGGGGUUCGCGUCCCAUUAGCUAGUUGGUGAGGUAAGGCCCACCAAGGCGAUGAUGGGUAGGCUGGUCUGAGAGGACGAUCAGCCACAUUGGGACUGAGAUACUGCCCAGACUCCUACGGGAGGCUGCAGUCGAGAAUUUUGGGCAAUGGACGAAAGUCUGACCCAGCAAUGCCGCGUGCGGGAUGAAGGUCUUCGGAUUGUAAACCGCUGUCAAGAGGGACGAAAUUUGACGGUACCUCUGGAGGAAGCCACGGCUAACUACGUGCCAGCCGCGGC
rnacentral:rRNA from 1 species